rnacentral:misc_RNA from 1 species
CUCAUUGUCAUAGUUUCAUUAGUAUUUUUCUUGAUAUUUGAGAACAUUUAUCAGUUUGCUUCAUUGUCUUUGAUUGUUAUAGAGGGUUGAAUAACUUUGACAGUGUAUUAGAUUAAGAUAAUAUUUAGGUACUCUCAGUUUAUAAAGACAACCAACAAAAUGUUCAAGAAUGGGAAGGGAGUGAUGCAAGACAACUCUUAGUCUAAAGGGGUCUCAAGGGUAAUAAAAUUUUCGCCCUUUUCAUUCUGUCUGCAAUGUGAGUGUGAUUAC